rnacentral:rRNA from 1 species
UAGGCACAGUAGUCGAACGGUAACAGGGUAGCAAUACCGCUGACGAGUGGCGCACGGGUGCGUAACGCGUAUGCAACUUACCUUAAACUGGGAGAUAGCCCCUCGAAAGAGGGAUUAAUACCCCAUAGUAAUUAGAUGAGGCAUCUCAUUUAGUUUAAAGCUCUGGCGGUUUAAGAUAGGCAUGCGUGACAUUAGCUAGUUGGUUAGGUAAUGGCUCACCAAGGCUACGAUGUCUAGGGGUUCUGAGAGGAUGAUCCCCCACACUAGUACUGAGACACGGACCAGACUCCUACGGGAGGCAGCAGUAAGGAAUAUUGGUCAAUGGGCGCAAGCCUGAACCAGCCAUGCCGCGUGAAGGAUGACGGCCCUAUGGGUUGUAAACUUCUAUUGUACGGGAAUAAACCCAGGUACGUGUACCUGGCUGAAUUUACCGUAAGAAUAAGGAUUGGCUAACUCCGUGCCAGCAGCCGCGGUAAUACGGAGGAUCCAAGCUUUAUCCGGAUUCAAUGGGUUUAAAGGGUGCGUAGGCGGACUUAUAAGUCAGUGGUGAAAUCCCGCAGCUUAACUGCAGAACUGCCAUUGAUACUGUAAGUCUUGAGUGUGUUUGUAGUGGGCGGAAUGUGUCAUGUAGCGGUGAAAUGCUUAGAUAUGACACAGAACACCGAUCGCGUAGGCAGCUCACUAAACCACAACUGACGCUGAGGCACGACAGCGUGGGGAUCAAACAGGAUUAGAUACCCUGGUAGUCCACGCCGUAAACUAUGAUUACUCGAUGUUCACGAUAUACUGUCAGCGUCUAAGCUAAAGCGUUAAGUAAUCCACCUUUGGAGUACGGUCGCAAGAUUGAAACUCAAAGGAAUUGACGGGGGCCCGCACAAGCGGAGGAGCAUGUGGUCCAAUUCGAUGAUACGCGAGGAACCUUACCAGGGCUUGAAAGUUAUUGACCGCUGCCGAAAGGUAGCUUUCCUUCGGGACACGAAACUAGGUGCUGGGUGGCUGUCGUCAGCUCGUGCCGUGAGGUGUUGGGUUAAGUCCCGCAACGAGCGCAACCCCUAUUUCUAGUUGCCAGCGAGUAAUGUCGGGGACUCUAAAGAAACUGCCCGCGUAAGCGUGGUUUAAGGUGGGGAUGACGUCAAGUCAGCACGACCCUUACGUCCUGGGCAUAUCACAAAUCAUACAAUGGACGAGACAGUGGGCAGCUACAUAGUAAUAUGAUGCUAAUCUCCAAACUCGUUCUCAGUUCGGAUUGAGGUCUGCAACUCGACCUUAUGAAGCUGGAUUCGCUAGUAAUCGGAUAUCAGCAAUGAUCCGGUGAAUACGUUCCCGGGUUCAGGGUACACACCGCCCGUCAAACAAUGGAAGCUAGAGGUACCUGAAGUCGAUAACCGCAAGGAGUCGCCACGAUAGAGGACCAUUUACCCAGAUGAG